rnacentral:antisense_RNA from 1 species
ACUCCGGAAGUCGGGGGGCUUUAAGCCCGCGUCCGGAACGGGGCCGUGUCAUUGUCAGCUACCUGGGGAUGCGCCUCUCGCUCCCUCUCUGUCUUUGCGUGUGUGUUUGUGUGUGUGUGUGUGUGUGUGUGUGUGUGUGUGUCGGCCUGUCUACGCACUACACGAAGCCUUAGUUGGUCUUCUUUCGUCUAGUGGGCGCACUCAGGACUUCUAUUUGGAACUGAGUCCGACAGCUCAGGACUGGCUGCUCAGACUCCACAAUUUAAUGAAAAAUCUCAGAUGAUGACUCAGAAAACCUCUAAUGAUCUGAGGAAUAUAUUAAGGGAUUCCAGAGUCAAAGGCUGAUCAUGGAGGGCAUUGAUGAGGGAAGACUUCAGGUGGCUGGAGACCAGAAGAAAGGAACACUGGAAGAAUGAAAACGGUUGUGAUGCACUGCAGUGUG